GCUUGGAGCUGGAGUUGAACCAGGGACCUUUGGACCACAGCGUUUCAGGAACUUCUUACAGUCAUGUGCUCUACCAACUGAGCUAUGAAGGUGCUUAUAGAUGAAAACGGAGAAAACAUAGUGGCUUCGGCGACACACUUUGCCAACACAACAAUCAAGCCACCUGGUCAAUGAAAAAGGUUGAACAGUGCAUAGACCAAUGAAAUCUGGUGUUUGGAGCAGGAGUUGAACCAGCGACCUUUGAACCAGAGCGUUUCUAGAACUUCUUAAAGUCAUGUGCUCUACCAAAUGAGCUAUGAAGGUGCUUAUAGAUAAAAACGCAGAAAACAUAGUGGCUUCGGCGACACACUUUGCCAAAACAACAAUCAAGCCACCUGGUCAAUGAAAAAGGAUGAACAGUGCAUAUACAAAUGAAAUCUGUUGCUUGGAGCUGGAGUUGAACCAGCGACCUUUGGACCACAGCGUUUCAGGAACUUCUUAAAGUCAUGUGCUCUACCAACUGAGCUAUGAAGGUGCUUAUAGAUAAUAACGCAGAAAACAUAGUGGCUUCGGCGACACACUUUGCCAAAACAACAAUCAAGCCACCUGGUCAAUGAAAAAGGUUGAACAGUGCAUAGACCAUUGAAAUCUGGUGUUUGGAGUAGGAGUUGAACCAGCGACCUUUGGACCACAGCGUUUCAGGAACUUCUUAAAGUCAUGUGCUCUACCAACUGAGCUAUGAAGGUGCUUAUAGAUAAAAACGCAGAAAACAUAGUGGCUUCGGCGACACACUUUGCCAAAACAACAAUCAAGCCACCUGGUCAAUGAAAAAGGAUGAACAGUGCAUAUACAAAUGAAAUCUGGUGCUUGGAGCUGGAGUUGAACCAGCGACCUUUGGACCACAGCAUUUCAGGAACUUCUUAAAGUCAUGUGCUCUACCAACUGAGCUAUGAAGGUGCUUAUAGAUAAAAACGCAGAAAACAUAGUGGCUUCGGCGACACACUUUGCCAACAUAACUAUUGAACCAACAUGGUCAAUGAAAAAGGUUGAACAGUGCAUAGACCAAUGAAAUCUGGUGUUUGGAGCAGGAGUUGAACCAGCGACCUUUGGACCACAGCGUUUCAGGAACUUCUUAAAGUCAUGUGCUCUACCAACUGAGCUAUGAAGGUACUUAUAGAUAAAAUCACAGAAAACAUAGUGGCUUCGGCGACACACUUUUUCAACAUAACUAUUGAACCAACAUGGUCAAUGAAAAAGGUUGAACAGUGCAUAGACCAAUGAAAUCUGGUGUUUGGAGCAGGAAUUGAACCAGCGACCUUUGGACCACAGCGUUUCAGGAACUUCUUAAAGUCAUGUGCUCUACCAACUGAGCUAUGAAGGUGCUUAUAGAUAAAAACGCAGAAAACAUAGUGGCUUCGGCGACACACUUUGCCAACACAACAAUCAAGCCACCUGGUCAAUGAAAAAGGAUGAACAGUGCAUAUACAAAUGAAAUCUGGUGUUUGGAGCUGGAGUUGAACCAGCGACCUUUGGACCACAGCGUUUCAGGAACUUCUUAAAGUCAUGUGCUCUACCAACUGAGCUAUGAAGGUGCUUAUAGAUGAAAACGCAGAAAACAUAGUGGCUUCGGCGACACACUUUGCCAAAACAACAAUCAAGCCACCUGGUCAAUGAAAAAGGAUGAACAGUGCAUAUACAAAUGAAAUCUGGUGCUUGGAGCAGGAGUUGAACCAGCGACCUUUGGACCACAGCGUUUCAGGAACUUCUUAAAGUCAUGUGCUCUACCAACUGAGCUAUGAAGGUGCUUAUAGAUAAAAACGCAGAAAACAUAGUGGCUUCGGCGACACACUUUGCCAAAACAACAAUCAAGCCACCUGGUCAAUGAAAAAGGUUGAACAGUGCAUAGAGCAUUGAAAUCUGGUGUUUGGAGCAGGAGUUGAACCAGCGACCUUUGGACCACAGCGUUUCAGGAACUUCUUACAGUCAUGUGCUCUACCAACUGAGAUAUGAAGGUGCUUAUAGAUAAAAACGCAGAAAACAUGGUGGCUUCGGCGACACACUUUGCCAAAACAACAAUCAAGCCACCUGGUCAAUGAAAAAGGAUGAACAGUGCACAUACAAAUGAAAUCUGGUGCUUGGAGUUGAACUAGCGACCUUUGGACCACAGCGUUUCAGGAACUUCUUAAAGUCAUGUGCUCUACCAACUGAGCUAUGAAGGUGCUUAUAGAUAAAAACGCAGAAAACAUAGUGGCUUCGGCGACACACUUUGCCAAAACAACAAUCAAGCCACCUGGUCAAUGAAAAAGGUUGAACAGUGCAUAGACCAUUGAAAUCUGGUGUUUGGAGCAGGAGUUGAACCAGCGACCUUUGGACCACAGCGUUUCAGGAACUUCUUACAGUCAUGUGCUCUACCAACUGGGCUAUGAAGGUGCUAAUAGAUAAAAACGCAGAAAACAUAGUGGCUUCGGCGACACACUUUGCCAAAACAACAAUCAAGCCACCUGGUCAAUGAAAAAGGAUGAACAGUGCAUAUACAAAUGAAAUCUGGUGUUUGGAGCAGGAGUUGAACCAGCGUCCUUUGGACCACAGCGUUUCAGGAACUUCUUAAAGUCAUGUGCUCUACCAACUGAGCUAUGAAGGUGCUUAUAGAUAAAAACGCAGAAAACAUAGUGGCUUCGGCGACACACUUUGCCAAAACAACAAUCAAGCCACCUGGUCAAUGAAAAAGGUUGAACAGUGCAUAGACCAUUGAAAUCUGGUGUUUGGAGUAGGAGUUGAACCAGCGACCUUUGGACCACAGCGUUUCAGGAACUUCUUACAGUCAUGUGCUCUACCAACUGAGCUAUGAAGGUGCUUAUAGAUAAAAACGCAGAAAACAUAGUGGCUUCGGCGACACACUUUGCCAAAACAACAAUCAAGCCACCUGGUCAAUGAAAAAGGAUGAACAGUGCAUAUACAAAUGAAAUCUGGUGUUUGGAGCAGGAGUUGAACCAGCGUCCUUUGGACCACAGCGUUUCAGGAACUUCUUAAAGUCAUGUGCUCUACCAACUGAGCUAUGAAGGUGCUUAUAGAUAAAAACGCAGAAAACAUAGUGGCUUCGGCGACACACUUUGCCAACAUAACUAUUGAACCAACAUGGUCAAUGGAAAAGGUUGAACAGUGCAUACACCAAUGAAAUCUGGUAUUUGGAGCAGGAGUUGAACCAGCGACCUUUGGACAACAGUGUUUCAGGAACUUCUUAAAGUCAUGUGCUCUACCAACUGAGCUAUGAAGGUGCUUAUAGAUAAAAACGCAGAAAACAUAGUGGCUUGGGCGACACACUUUGCCAAAACAACAAUCAAGCCACCUGGUCAAUGAAAAAGGAUGAACAGUGCAUAUACAAAUGAAAUCCAGUGCUUGGAGCUGGAGUUGAACCAGCGACCUUUGGACCACAGCAUUUCAGGAACUUCUUAAAGUCAUGUGCUCUACCAACUGAGCUAUGAAGGUGCUUAUAGAUAAAAACGCAGAAAACAUAGUCGCUUCGGCGACACACUUUGCCAAAACAACAAUCAAGCCACCUGGUCAAUGAAAAAGGAUGAACAGUGCAUAUACAAAUGAAAUCUGUUGCUUGGAGCUGGAGUUGAACCAGCGACGUUUGGACCACAGCGUUUCAGGAACUUCUUAAAGACAUGUGCUCUACCAACUGAGCUAUGAAGGUGCUUAUAGAUAAAAACGCAGAAAACAUAGUGGCUUCGGCGACACACUUUUUCAACAUAACUAUUGAACCAACAUGGUCAAUGAAAAAGGUUGAACAGUGCAUAGACCAAUGAAAUCUGGUGUUUGGAGCAGGAAUUGAACCAGCGUCCUUUGAACCAGAGCGUUUCUAGAACUUCUUAAAGUCAUGUGCUCUACCAAAUGAGCUAUGAAGGUGCUUAUAGAUAAAAACGCAGAAAACAUAGUGGCUUGGGCGACACACUUUGCCAACAUAACUAUUGAACCAACAUGGUCAAUGAAAAAUGUUGAACAGUGCAUACACCAAUGAAAUCUGGUGUUUGGAGCAGGAGUUGAACCAGCGUCCUUUGGACCACAGCGUUUCAGGAACUUCUUAAAGUCAUGUGCUCUACCAACUGAGCUAUGAAGGUGCUUAUAGAUAAAAACGCAGAAAACAUAGUGGCUUCGGCGACACACUUUGCCAACACAACAAUCAAGCCACCUGGUCAAGGAAAAAGGUUGAACAGUGCAUAGACCAAUGAAAUCUGGUGUUUGGAGCAGGAGUUGAACCAGCGACCUUUGAACCAGAGCGUUUCUAGAACUUCUUAAAGUCAUGUGCUCUACCAAAUGAGCUAUGAAGGUGCUUAUAGAUAAAAACGCAGAAAACAUAGUGGCUUCGGCGACACACUUUGCCAAAACAACAAUCAAGCCACCUGGUCAAUGAAAAAGGAUGAACAGUGCAUAUACAAAUGAAAUCUGUUGCUUGGAGCUGGAGUUGAACCAGCGACGUUUGGACCACAGCGUUUCAGGAACUUCUUAAAGUCAUGUGCUCUACCAACUGAGCUAUGAAGGUGCUUAUAGAUAAAAACGCAGAAAACAUAGUGGCUUCGGCGACACACUUUGCCAACAUAACUAUUGAACCAACAUGGUCAAUGAAAAAGGUUGAACAGUGCAUAGACCAUUGAAAUCUGGUGUUUGGAGCUGGAGUUGAACCAGCGUCCUUUGGACCACAGCGUUUCAGGAACUUCUUAAAGUCAUGUGCUCUACCAACUGAGCUAUGAAGGUGCUUAUAGAUAAAAACGCAGAAAACAUAGUGGCUUCGGCGACACACUUUGCCAACACAACAAUCAAGCCACCUGGUCAAUGAAAAAGGAUGAACAGUGCAUAUACAAAUGAAAUCUGGUGUUUGGAGCUGGAGUUGAACCAGCGACCUUUGGACCACAGCGUUUCAGGAACUUCUUACAGUCAUGUGCUCUACCAACUGAGCUAUGAAGGUGCUUAUAGAUGAAAACGCAGAAAACAUAGUGGCUUCGGCGACACACUUUGCCAAAACAACAAUCAAGCCACAUGGUCAAUGAAAAAGGAUGAACAGUGCAUAGACCAAUGAAAUCUGGUGUUUGGAGCAGGAGUUGAACCAGCGACCUUUGGACCACAGCGUUUCAGGAACUUCUUAAAGUCAUGUGCUCUACCAACUGAGCUAUGAAGGUGCUUAUAGAUAAAAACGCAGAAAACAUAGUGGCUUCGGCGACACACUUUGCCAAAACAACAAUCAAGCCACCUGGUCAAUGAAAAAGGAUGAACAGUGCACAUACAAAUGAAAUCUGGUGCUUGGAGCUGGAGUUGAACUAGCGACCUUUGGACCACAGCGUUUCAGGAACUUCUUAAAGUCAUGUGCUCUACCAACUGAGCUAUGAAGGUGCUUAUAGAUAAAAACGCAGAAAACAUAGUGGCUUCGGCGACACACUUUGCCAAAACAACAAUCAAGCCACCUGGUCAAUGAAAAAGGUUGAACAGUGCAUAGACCAUUGAAAUCUGGUGUUUGGAGUAGGAGUUGAACCAGCGACCUUUGGACCACAGCGUUUCAGGAACUUCUUACAGUCAUGUGCUCUACCAACUGGGCUAUGAAGGUGCUUAUAGAUAAAAACGCAGAAAACAUAGUGGCUUCGGCGACACACUUUGCCAAAACAACAAUCAAGCCACCUGGUCAAUGAAAAAGGAUGAACAGUGCAUAUACAAAUGAAAUCUGGUGUUUGGAGCAGGAGUUGAACCAGCGUCCUUUGGACCACAGCGUUUCAGGAACUUCUUAAAGUCAUGUGCUCUACCAACUGAGCUAUGAAGGUGCUUAUAGAUAAAAACGCAGAAAACAUAGUGGCUUCGGCGACACACUUUGCCAAAACAACAAUCAAGCCACCUGGUCAAUGAAAAAGGUUGAACAGUGCAUAGACCAAUGAAAUCUGGUGUUUGGAGUAGGAGUUGAACCAGCGACCUUUGGACCACAGCGUUUCAGGAACUUCUUUCAGUCAUGUGCUCUACCAACUGAGCUAUGAAGGUGCUUAUAGAUAAAAACGCAGAAAACAUAGUGGCUUCGGCGACACACUUUGCCAAAACAACAAUCAAGCCACCUGGUCAAUGAAAAAGGAUGAACAGUGCAUAUACAAAUGAAAUCUGGUGUUUGGAGCAGGAGUUGAACCAGCGUCCUUUGGACCACAGCGUUUCAGGAACUUCUUAAAGUCAUGUGCUCUACCAACUGAGCUAUGAAGGUGCUUAUAGAUAAAAACGCAGAAAACAUAGUGGCUUCGGCGACACACUUUGCCAACAUAACUAUUGAACCAACAUGGUCAAUGGAAAAGGUUGAACAGUGCAUACACCAAUGAAAUCUGGUGUUUGGAGCUGGAGUUGAACCAGCGUCCUUUGGACAACAGCGUUUCAGGAACUUCUUAAAGUCAUGUGCUCUACCAACUGAGCUAUGAAGGUGCUUAUAGAUAAAAACGCAGAAAACAUAGUGGCUUGGGCGACACACUUUGCCAAAACAACAAUCAAGCCACCUGGUCAAUGAAAAAGGAUGAACAGUGCAUAUACAAAUGAAAUCCGGUGCUUGGAGCUGGAGUUGAACCAGCGACCUUUGGACCACAGCAUUUCAGGAACUUCUUAAAGUCAUGUGCUCUACCAACUGAGCUAUGAAGGUGCUUAUAGAUAAAAACGCAGAAAACAUAGUGGCUUCGGCGACACACUUUGCCAACAUAACUAUUGAACCAACAUGGUCAAUGAAAAAGGUUGAACAGUGCAUACACCAAUGAAAUCUGGUGUUUGGAGCUGGAGUUGAACCAGCGUCCUUUGGACCACAGCGUUUCAGGAACUUCUUAAAGUCAUGUGCUCUACCAACUGAGCUAUGAAGGUGCUUAUAGAUAAAAACGCAGAAAACAUAGUGGCUUCGGCGACACACUUUGCCAAAACAACAAUCAAGCCACCUGGUCAAUGAAAAAGGAUGAACAGUGCAUAUACAAAUGAAAUCCGGUGUUUGGAGCUGGAGUUGAACCAGCGACCUUUGGACCACAGCAUUUCAGGAACUUCUUAAAGUCAUGUGCUCUACCAACUGAGCUAUGAAGGUGCUUAUAGAUAAAAACGCAGAAAACAUAGUGGCUUCGGCGACACACUUUGCCAACAUAACUAUUGAACCAACAUGGUCAAUGAAAAAGGUUGAACACUGCAUAGACCAAUGAAAUCUGGUGUUUGGAGCAGGAGUUGAACCAGCGUCCUUUGGACCACAGCGUUUCAGGAACUUCUUAAAGUCAUGUGCUCUACCAACUGAGCUAUGAAGGUGCUUAUAGAUGAAAACGCAGAAAACAUAGUGGCUUCGGCGACACACUUUGCCAACACAACAAUGAAGCAAACUGGUCAAUGAAAAAGGAUGAACAGUGCAUAUACAAAUGAAAUCUGGUGCUUGGAGCUGGAGUUGAACCAGGGACCUUUGGACCACAGCGUUUCAG